GAGCAGCGCAGGAGAAGGCGAUUGGCUGU
rnacentral:piRNA from 1 species